GGUAACCCCUUAAAAACGGAAUUCCACGACUUGGGGCUACAUUUUCUAACACUAAGCAGGAAACUGGGGAUAGAUAACUCUAGAAAUCCUGUUAUGUAAGGACCUCCAGGAUUCAGCCCUCCAUGUGUCCUUGGUAUCAGAAGUUGGAAUUGCAGAGUUGCCACUUUACCCCCAAAUGUAAUUUUUGAUGUGGUUGUGCCACUUUAACAGUAUUUGAAAUCUCUCUUUGUGCUCUUGCAGCAGCAUUUUUGAACUACAAUUGAAAUUUAGUCCUUCUGCCUGGAGCUGUUCAUAGAAUCGUGGAAUCCCAGAAGGGUUUGGAUGGGAAGGCACCUUUUUUUAAAGCUCAUCCUGUUCCACCCCCUGCCAUGGGCAGGGACACCUUCCACCAUCCCAGGGUGCUCUAAGCCCUGUCCAGCCUGGCCUUGGAUACUUCCAGGGAACCUUCCAGGGAACCGGGGGCAGCCACAGCUUCUCUGGGCAACCUGUGCUGGACAGCAGUAUUGAAAGGCAGAGUGAAGUACAGCUGUGAUUUUUGUGCUGCCCUUAACAUUGUAUUGCCUGACAAAUGUGCCUUUGGGUUUUUUGGUUUUUUUUUUUUUUUUUUUUUUUUUUUUUUUUUUGUUUGUUUUUUUUUUUUUUCAUUUGUUUUGUUUUUGGUUUUUUUGGGGACUAAAAAGAUACCUUGUGUUUCUGGAAUGUUGCAUUCUGCCUCUGUUGUUUUCCCAGUUAAUCUGGAUCCUCUGCUUACAUUUUUUCCUUCACUUAUUAGAUGUUGUGGAUAUGCUGGCUGUUCUGAUGGAGGGCUGUGAUAGCUUAGAUGAAGAAAUUGGGUUCUCUUUAAAUGAAGAUGUGAUUAUCCAAACAUUUCCCUUCGUUGCUUGUUGUCCCUGCUGCACUAGAAGCCAGGAAUAUACUGUUGCUUCAGUCUGAAAAUGGAACAGGAGCAGACCUCGUGGAGUACCUUGGUGCUGUUUUCACUGACCUCCUGUGCUCUCCGAGAGAACCCCUUGCUCUCUGCUUGACGUUCCAGCUCUGUGACAAAGAUCUCCAGUCCCUGAAAGCUGCUAAGUAUCCUCAGCUCUACCAGUUUAACCGAUACUAUAGACUCUGGAUGCCCAAGCAGUGCCAGGAACCUGUGUUUGGAAACCACAAGGAGGUAAGCCAAGAGCCUCCUGUGGCACCGGAUUCUGUAUUUGCCACUUUGCUGAAGGGAGCCUGGGAGAGGGGAAGCAGUACCUUCCUGGAAGAUGGUGUUCAGACAAAGUGGAGAGACUCGGCUUCCUGGCUCCCCCCACCUGAGCAGCUUUUGUUGGGAGUAAAGCACGUUCUGCUGUACCCGAAAUCCACAGUGGAGAACUUCAGCAGCCUAAGAGCAGCAUUGUAAUAAUACUGUAGUUAUGCUUGGUUUAUUUUAUGGUAGGAGUUGCAAAUGACUUGGCUGCUAAAAUUUAGGUUCCAGUGCUGUAGCUAUUUUUUCUCUACUCAGCUCCAAGGGUACGCAGCACCGUACAAAACUGCGCCUGAUUUGUAAACAAAUGUCAGUUGUUCUGAUUAUUGAAGCCAGGCUUUAUUCAGUUGAAUCCCGACUGUGUGCUGCGCCCAGGUCCUUUGUACAAAUAGGAACAUCGAAGGAUAAGUCCCA